GGAAAACUAAAGGCUAAAACCUACUUUGUAAACGUUUUGCAAUUUGAAACUGGGCAAUACCACCACCCGGACUACCGAAGAAGAAGAAGAAGAAACCACACUGCUUCAGCUACAGACAGCUUAUGGCGACUGAACUAGAAGAAUUGAUACAGUUUCUCUCUUCUCCCUCCCCUCAAUUGAGGAAAGCGGCCAUAGACAUUGUUCAAGGUUUAACUGGGUCUGAGGAUGGGCUGCAGUCUCUUGCCAAGUAUCCCGACGUCCUGCUGCCAUCAUUAGCUCGACUCUUGAGAGAACAAAAGGAUGUAGCGGAACGGGCAGCUGAAGCUCUUGUAAAUCUUUCACAAAAUUCUGAUCUGGCUGGAAAGAUGAUAGACUUGGGACUUAUUGGAGAAGCUAUGAAUCUUUUGUAUAAUGUGGACUCCAGCAUUAGCCAGUUGCUAGUAAUGCUUCUGGUUAAUCUAACACAAUUGGAUGCGGGUAUUGCUUCAUUACUUCAGACUGGAGAUGACAAGAUGCAAGGUCUCUAUGUUAUGAAGAUUGUCAGAUCAUUUUGUCGUUCAGCAAGUGAAUCUAGUGAUGAUCCCUUUGAGCAUGUCGCUUCCAUACUGGUAAAUAUAUCAAAGAAGGAAGCUGGAAGGAAGCUUUUACUUGAUCCUAAUCGGGGACUUUUGAAGCAGAUAAUUAGGCAGUAUGAUUCAAAUAGUCAACUACGGAAGAAUGGAGUAUUUGGAACUCUCAGAAAUUGUUGCUUUGAAGCAGAAGAUCAACUACAAAAUUUACUCUUGAUAGCUGAGUUCCUUUGGCCAGCUUUACUUCUCCCCAUUGCUGGUAACAAGGUUUAUAAGGAGGAGGAUACAUCAAAAAUGCCACUUGAGCUUGGAACUGCACUUUCAAUUGAGCGUGAGCAAAUUGAUGAUCCUGAAAUUCGAGUUCAUGCAUUGGAGGCCAUAUACAUGAUCAUAUUACAGUGUUCAAAGCACGACAGUCAACACAAAAUCUUCAUGCCCCAUCUUCCUUAACCAGCACAAGAGGUUUUGGAGUAGGGCUCACACUUGAAUUUGACAUUGGCUUUCAGCCUUCCAUUAAAGCAGGAUCACCCUUCGAAGUUAUUUGAGCGUGAACCUUGCCAACCUUCAUUGUCAGUAAUUUUCGAUCAACUUCCAUCAUGCCCAAAGUACGGAGCCCAUCAACUCUGAUGGGACCCCCUCUUAUGAAUCAAUUGGUAAUCUUGCUUUAUUGAUAGUAAUGAACGAAUUACAAUAUCAGACUCUCUUCCUUGCUAUUCUAUCUUUCAAGAAUGAACAAAGGAAACUUCCCUCAUGAAACUUCUCAUAUCUAAUCUCUCAUAUUCAUGUGUUAUUUAUAGUUUUCUGCAAACCAACUUUCUAACUGUUUCUGUAACAGAUUUCUGUAACAGCUUAACUAUUUAUCUGACUGUUAGUAACUACUAGGCUAACUAAUUUGUUAUCUGUUUCUUUCCUGUAUGGCUGUACUGAUGUAUUAUAGGAGGUGGAGGUCUAUCAAACUCCUAAUUCAAGUUGCAGGAAAUUUCCUGCUACUGUUAGGUCCUUACUGUUGAGGACUGUGAUCUUGCAAACUCCCUCCUCCACGACUAACCCUGCUCCCAUGAUCGCUCCAUAAUCUGCCAUCGUUGUUAGGAGUGCAUUCAGCUCUUGGAUGACUUUCUAAGGAAUGAAGUUUUAUUCCCUCCAAACUUGAUCAGUUUUAUCACCUCUCACUGGUUCAUUUUUCCUUUCACACUCCUGGUGCAGUAAAACCCAUGACUAAAUUUUAUGAUAAUCCAGCAGUGGCCUCUACUUCCACCACCUGAAGAGCGAUUGUUCUACUGCAAUCUCCAUCUCAUCCACAAUCCCUGUUUCAUUGUUUUUGUCUACAACUAAGAUGCUGGGCGGAGAGCAUUCUGGUCUAUCAACGGACCAAGAAUACUGCAAGUGGGGUAUGAAGACGAGGAAAACCCAAAAGUAAUGGAAGCAUAUGAGAGAGUUGGCUCACUACUGGUUAAUAGCGGUGGCGAU